UGGGACAGCUAAUACAUAAAAACAUGGGGCUUAUUCUUUGUAUUGUUUACGUGGUGCUGAUCAGUCCACCGAGAUCGAUGUUUUCUGGUUGUAAAGUAGACGUCGUACCCGAUCCUGAGCUGCGUUACGCAGAGGGUGCAAAUUUCCUCCGUAGAACACGUGCUGAGAUCUCGAAUAGCAAAGACAUUUCGCGGUGCGUUGUAGAUAUUCGGCCGAAGCUGAGAUUCCUCUGCACCCUCUUCUAGAGACUUUUGGAACACAGAGAAUUCUUGACAAACGGAUGCUGAUCGGGCUUGUGAUUAUUCUAUCCCCGUCAGACUGAAAGAGAGAGGGCUACACAAAGACAACGGAUUGAAACUACACCACAAUCGAGCAUCGCAUAUAAACACCAUCUGAAAAUACUACAAAACUGAGUCGUUAUGUCAAAGUAAACGGCCCUCUACAUUAAA